UGAGGAAUAUGGCCUAAUAAGCGCGGACUGAUCCCCAUGCCGCGUGCAGGAAGACGGCCCUAUGGGUUGUAAACUGCUUUUACAGAGGAAGAAACACCCUCGUGAGGCUUGACGGUACUCUGCGGCCUAAUAAGCCGGCUAACUCCGUGCCAGCAGCCGCGGUAAUACGGAGGAUGGCCUAAUAAGCUCCGGAAUCAUUGGGUAGGUCCGUAGGCGGGACAAUCAGUCAGCGGUGAGUCUGUGGCUCAACCAUAGAAUUGCCAUUGAUACUGUUGCUUGAAUACUUAUGAAGUGGUUGGAAUAUGGUGUAGCGGUGAAAUGCAUAGAUAUUACAUAGAACACCGAUUGCGAAGGCAGAUCACUAAGUCAUUGACGCUAAGGCCUAAUAAGCGCGAACAGG
rnacentral:rRNA from 1 species